GAUGAAGAACGCAGCGAAAUGCGAUAAGUAAUGUGAAUUGCAGAAUUCAGUGAAUCAUCGAAUCUUUGAACGCACCUUGCGCCCUUUGGCUAUUCCGAAGGGCAUGCCUGUUUGAGUAUCAUGAACACCUCAACUCUUCACGGCUUGCCGUGAUGAGUUUGGACUUUGGGGGUCCUGCUGGCCUACGAGCCAGCUCCUCUCAAAUGUAUUAGCUUGCCGGUGUUUGGUGGCAUCACAGGUGUGAUAACUAUCUACGCUUGUGGUUUUCCACUAGGUAACCUUCAGCAAUGGAGGUUCACCGGAGCUCACAAAUGUCUCUCCUUGCCAAGGACAGAUUUUGACCAUUUGAUCUCAAAUCAGGUAGGACUACCCGCUGAACUUAAGCAUAUCAAUAAGCGGAGGA
rnacentral:misc_RNA from 1 species